ACAGCCGUCGUCAAUAUGGUAAAGCUACAUUAUUGACACCUUCACAAUGUUUUUAUUUGCAGGUUAGCUUUUGUAUUUUUUCUAUGAUGCGUACAAUAUUUUUUGCUCACAAAUGUAAAAGUUUUGUGGCAAUAAUCGUUUUAUGUUUUAUGCUAUACUUGGCUGUAAAUCUAUAUCCAAACUACCAAUCAUGUUCAGUAAGAGGCACUAGUAAACACGAACACAAUGAAAAAAUGCAAAAUUUAACUGCUAAAAUUGCCGAGCUUCAAUUACAGCAAGAUGUUUUGAUUAGUCAAAACAGACAAGAGGAUUCAGAAAACUAUCUUUCCUACAACACAAUUUUUCUUCCUGUUAAAGCUAAGUUGGAUAAAAACAUGAUGAUCCUUUUUCACAAACAUUUAACAUGUGAUGGUUGGUCUCAAGUACAGACAAGGGCUCAAUAUUCUCUAGACAACAAUAAAGAUGGGAAGUUGAUCGAACCGGAUGGAACAACAGUUGAUGUUUCUUCUUUAUCUAUCAUCGAAACAGAAACAGGGAUCUAUAUGUCCAAAAGCAGUCCAUCAUUUAUGAGCAAUCUCGUUGUGUUUUUUAAUCUGUAUCAAAUGCAAGGAUGGCCAGGGGUACCUACACUACAUGGAACAUGUGUUUUGCUAAAAAGUGGGCAAGAAAUGGGUUUGGAACCAUUUUCAUUGCUUGAAGUGAAAAAAGUUCAGUAUGUUAUCCAGCGAUAUACCAAAGCUCAGCCAGUGUGUGGUCCCAUGAUACAGACCCCCACUUUUAAUGACAAAUGUAUUGCUUUGCUUGGUUUAAUAAACCAUUUAAAGUUCAGUUCAUUCUCCCUAAUUGGCUCAAUUAAAACAAUGAUUAGUAUUUCAAAAAUUUUUGAGACAUUUUUAAAAAAUGGUUUGUACCCUUUAAACUUUCAUCCCAAACACCUGGUGUUUACUGACAACUAUGAUAUUGUAAUGCAAUUCCCAGAAGGUUUUGAAAAUUUUUUAUUUGGUGAUCGUUUAAACACCCACUACAGAAAGUUUCUGUCUGGAACUACAUGUACCACAUGGCAGCAUUGCCCAACUGUAGGCUUGGACAAUAAAGGUGCAUUCUUAUAUCAACUUGGAAAACAUUGCAAAGAAUUACGUGGAUAUUGCACACCUGAAAUGCGAUGUUCAGGACUAGAUACACAUUUACACCUUUGUAUAUUUUCACGUUGGAUAUUUCAAACGCUCAGUGACCAGGUUUCUGAUAGCUGGCCACAUAAAUUUAGAUUAACUGAGUUGUUGGCUUGUUCAAGACAGGCCACCCCACAGUUUCGAUGUAGCUGGACUUCCUUUCGUCGAGGCCUUGAGAUUGUUUUAGAGUUUGCACAGACAAAUCCCCAUAAUCAUUUAUAAUGUCAUGUUUUACUUUACACAAUUCUUACUUGCCUAAUUUUUAAAUUGAUUUCUUUAUUUUGUUUUGUACAUUAGUUAACAGUGCAACAUUUUAUGUUUUCAUAUUUUUAUACAAUUACUUGCUACUUGAUUACCUGCCUUAUGCCGAAAUGCACUUUUUAUUUGUUUAUCAAUUUAUUAAUUGCGUACUACCACAAAUAGGCUGUAAUAUUGCAUAAAAAGGUUUUACUAAUAUUGUAAAUGUUAUUGCUUUAUCUGUACCAUAAAAAAUUAUGUUGUCAAAUCAUUUUCUAUAACUAAAAAUAAAUUGUGAUUGUAUUAUACAAUGUAUUUUUAUAUGCAAUUUUUAUUUAUUUUAUCAUAAAUGUUUAGGAUUAUAGAUUAGUGUUAUGUAGCAUUUGCUGGUUUACCAAUCUUUGUACUAAUGAAUCUUUAUUUUUUUAUUUAUACUGUUUUGAAGUUUACAAUCCUGAAAAUAAUAUUGGUAUGGGAAAUGUAAUAAAAGGAGUUUUGAAAGUUUUAAAGAGCUACAAACCUAAGCAAUCCGGAUCCUAUUUUCAAUAUGAAUAGUUUUUUUAUAAUUGCUCAGUCAUGCCACAAUUUCUUAUCUUUCCUUAACUUUUAAAAUAAUAAUUAUUUAUUUCCUCACGUAUAUAUGAUGAAGAAGUUUUUUAAAAAGAGAAGGGAAUUAACAUUAAACAACAGUUGUUAAAACACUAUGGAUAAGUGGAAAAGGUGUCAGUUAAUAAUAGGUAUGUUUCACCUAAAACACGACCCUUGUCAUGUGAUUAUUUAGCCGGUUUACAUCACAUUUUUAGACCCUUUUUUUGCAAGACCAGUAGACCAACGCCUCGACUACUACAAACUUUAUGUACGAAUGCAUACGGAGACUGAAACCUUGUGGCCGAUUUUUUACUGCUUUGCCGCGUGUGAGCAAUGAAUGAAUAUUGCUAGCUAAACAAAGGUUGCUCGAAUAACGUUUAUCGAUGACAGUUGGUUCUACCAGAGUAUACGUUUAGUAUACUCUGGUUCUACAUUGACUUUUUAGACUGCGUAUUUUACACUUUGUCGCACACGUACUCACAUGACAGAAUAUGAAACACUGUACUGUCGAUGACCGUGCAUUGAUUUUACAACGACGGUAAUUUACGUUAGGACUCGCUGCUAAGCUUUUGCUAGAACUUUAAUGUUCGAUGUUUUAGUUUCGACUUCGCUUCUUGAUCGACUUAUUUGACUGUUCAAACUGCUGCUUGGCUUUAUUCGUCCUCAAGCGGCAGUUAUGUUUAACUGCUACACUAGUUAUUAUCAUUAAUGAGGCGGGGCUGAUGAAUCCAUCGUGACGUUAUGACCAUGGCAUAGAGUCAUAGACAAUAGAGAGUACUAUGAUGACCAAAGCUCAGGGCGUAUACACUUGCUUUGGUAUGACUGUAUGAUGCUCGUGCCCGUUCACGGACGCCUGGCUCUCUUUUUCUUUUGAAUGGGUGAUUUUGCUUUUGAUACUGGAUGUUAAAAAAAUUCACGUUGGAAUGUUUGGUUGUAGUAUUUAAUUAAUUUAAAUUUGUAUUAUGUUGGAAAAAAUAUGUUUCACCGAUGUUACCACAUUUCAAGCUGUUGCAACAUGCUUUUCGUUUGCAACGAUGUACGUUGGAAGCUUAUACGUUCGUACUCAAUUCUUGCCAAGAGAUCAUCCUCAAACAAUUAAAGAAAGGUUUCUACGAGUCACAGUUGUGUCAAUACUUGCAUGUGUUGUGGUGUAUAUGUCCAGUUCGUCCCUGUGUGGCGUUCAUAUGAAAGGCAGCAUUUUGGAAUGGAUUGGAAUUCGAUGGAGUGGUUUCAUCCCUGCCAUAAUACUUCCAUCGCUGCUGAUAAUUAUUUUAUUUCUUGGUCCAAUGAUGAUGUUUAUUCUUGAUCAUGGCAUUACAAGUUUGACCUGCUACAAAUUGACAGAUAUUAUUUUAUGGAGAAACUUUUUUGUGGCUCCGCUUUCUGAAGAAUUAGUAUUUCGCGGAUGUAUGAUGCCUUUGCUUGUUCCAUGUCUUGGACAGUUUACCUCCAUUCUACUUGCACCAUGGUUCUUUGGGCUUGCGCACUUUCAUCAUGCGUAUGAGCAAUA